rnacentral:rRNA from 1 species
UGGGGAAUAUUGCACAAUGGGCGCAAGCCUGAUGCAGCCAUGCCGCGUGUAUGAAGAAGGCCUUCGGGUUGUAAAGUACUUUCAGCGGGGAGGAAGGCGAUAAGGUUAAUAACCUUGUCGAUUGACGUUACCCGCAGAAGAAGCACCGGCUAACUCCGUGCCAGCAGCCGCGGCAAUACGGAGGGUGCAAGCGUUAAUCGGAAGUACUGGGCGUAAAGCGCACGCAGGCGGUCUGUCAAGUCGGAUGUGAAAUCCCCGGGCUCAACCUGGGAACUGCAUUCGAAACUGGCAGGCUAGAGUCUUGUAGAGGGGGGUAGAAUUCCAGGUGUAGCGGUGAAAUGCGUAGAGAUCUGGAGGAAUACCGGUGGCGAAGGCGGCCCCCUGGACAAAGACUGACGCUCAGGUGCGAAAGCGUGGGGAGCAAACA